UACGAGGGGGGCGAGCGUUGUUCGGAAUUAUUGGGCGUAAAGGGUGCGUAGGCGGUUUGAUAAGUCUGAUGUGAAAUCUAUGGGCUCAACCCAUAGUCUGCAUUAGAAACUGUCGGGCUUGAGUAUGGGAGAGGUGAGUGGAAUUUCCGGUGUAGCGGUGAAAUGCGUAGAUAUUGGGAGGAACACCAGUGGCGAAGGCGGCUCACUGGACCGGUACUGACGCUGAUGCGCGAAAGCGUGGGGAGCAAACGGG
rnacentral:rRNA from 1 species